CCUACGGGGGGCAGCAGUGAGGAAUAUUGGACAAUGGUCGGAAGACUGAUCCAGCCAUGCCGCGUGAAGGUUACAGUCCUAUGGAUUUUAAACUUCUUUUGUAUGGAAGCAAUAAGGUGUACGUGUACACCGAUGAGAGUCCCAUACGAAUAAGCAUCGGCUAACUCCGUGCCAGCAGCCGCGGUAAUACGGAGGAUGCAAGCGUUAUCCGGAUUUAUUGGGUUUAAAGGGUGCGUAGGCGGAUAUGUAAGUCAGCGGUGAAACUCACAGGCUCAACCUGUGCCGUGCCGUUGAAACUGUGUAUCUGGAAUGCGGAUGCUGUGGGAGGAAUGUGUAGUGUAGCGGUGAAAUGCAUAGAUAUUACACAGAACACCGAUUGCGAAGGCAUCUCACAAAGCCGUUAUUGACGCUGAGGCACGAAAGUGUGGGGAUCAAACAGGCUUAGAUACCCUAGUAGUC
rnacentral:rRNA from 1 species